AUGUUUUUAUCAUCUUUUGAUGAAGAUAUAGUUAAUCAACCCCUGCAGAUGCCAAAGAUGAUGCCUGAAAACCAGUAUCCAUCAGAACAGAGAUUUCAGAGACAACUGUCUGAACCCUGCCACCCCUUCCCUCCUCAGCCAGGAGUUCCUGGAGAUAAUCGCCCCAGUUACCAUCGGCAAAUGUCAGAGCCUAUAUUGUCCCUGCAGCUCCCCCGCCCCCUCAGGGAUUCAAACAAGAAUACCAUGACCCACUCUAUGAACAUGGGGUCCCGGGCAUGCCAGGGCCCCCAGCACACGGGUUCCAGUCACCAAUGGGAAUCAAGCAGGAGCCUCGGGAUUACUGCGUCGAUUCAGAAGUGCCUAACUGUCAGUCAUCCUACAUGAGAGGGGGUUAUUUCUCCAGCAGCCAUGAAGGUUUUUCAUAUGAAAAAGAUCCCCGAUUAUACUUUGACGACACUUGUGUUGUGCCUGAGAGACUGGAAGGCAAAGUCAAACAGGAGCCUACCAUGUAUCGAGAGGGGCCCCCUUACCAGAGGCGAGGUUCCCUUCAGCUGUGGCAGUUCCUGGUCACCCUUCUUGAUGACCCAGCCAAUGCCCACUUCAUUGCCUGGACAGGCCGAGGCAUGGAGUUCAAGCUGAUAGAACCGGAAGAGGUUGCUCGGCGCUGGGGCAUCCAGAAGAACCGGCCAGCCAUGAACUAUGACAAGCUGAGCUGCUCUCUCCGCUAUUACUAUGAAAAGGGCAUCAUGCAGAAGGCGGCUGGAGAGCGAUACGUCUACAAAUUUGUCUGUGACCCAGAUGCCCUCUUCUCCAUGGCUUUCCCGGAUAAUCAGCGUCCUUUCCUGAAGGCAGAGUCCGAGUGCCACCUCAGCGAGGAGGACACCCUGCCGCUGACCCACUUUGAAGACAGCCCUGCUUACCUCCUGGACAUGGACCACUGCAGCAGCCUCCCCUAUGCCGAAGGCUUUGCUUACUAAGUUUCUGAGUGGCAGAGUGGCCAAACCCUAGAGCUAGCAGUUCCCAUUCAGGCAAAGGAGGGCAGUGGUUUUGUUUGUGUUUUUGACUGUUCCUAAAGCUUGCCCUUUGAGUAUUAUCUGGAGAACCCAAGUCGUCUCUGGAUUGGCACCCUUAAAGACAGAUACAUUGGCUGGGGAGUGGGAACAGGGAGGGGCAAAAAACCACCAAAAGGCUGGUGCCUCAACUCUGAUUCUGAUGAGGUUUCUGGGAAGAGAUCAAAAUGGAGUCUCCUUACCAUGGACAAUAUAUGCAAAGCAAUAUCUUGUUCAGGUUAGUACCCGCAAAACGGGACACAGUAUGUGACAAUCUGCAUCGAUCAUGGACUACUAAAUGCCUUUACAUAGAAGGGCUCUGAUUUGCACAAUUUGUCGAAAAAUCACAAACCCAUAGAAAAGUAAGAAGGCUAAGUUGGGGAGGCUCAAACCAUUAAGGGUUAAAAAUGUAUCUUAAACAUUGGAAAGCUCUUCUAGCUGAAUCUGAAAUAUUACCCCUUGUCUAGAAAAAGGGGGGGCAGUUAGAACAGCUGUAGCCCACUCCGUGGUUCUCAAAAUCAUAAACCAUGGCUACUCUUGGGAACCAUCAGCCAUGUGGUCGCCAAGUAGAGCAAGCACCCUUUCUCUUCCCAAUCACAUGGCUGAGUGUGGAUGACUUUUAUUUUAGGAGAAGGGCGAUUAACACUUUUGACAGUAUUUUGUUUUGCCUUGAUUUGGGGGAUUGUUUUGUUUUGGUGGUUGUUUUGGAAAAACAGUUUAUAAACUGAUUUUUGUAGUUUUGGUAUUUAAAGCAAAAAAACAAAAAACAAAAACCUUUUGGUAACUGUGCACUGUGUCCUUUAGCCAGGGCCGUGCCAACUUAUGAAGAUACUGCAGCUUGAGAGGGGCUUUGCUGAGGCUUCCCCUUGGCCAUGUGAAAGCCCGCCAUGUUGCCUGCUUUGUGCUUUCUGCACCAGACAACCUGAUGGAACAUUUGCACCUGAGUUGUACAUUUUUGAAGUGUGCAGGGCAGCCUGGACACAAGCUUAGAUUCUCUGUGUAUAGUUCCCCAUGUUCACUAACAUGCCCUCUCUGGAAAGCAUAUGUAUAUAACAUGUGUCAUGUCCUUUGGAAACCUGGUCACCUGGCGAGAACCCUUGGGAUUCUUCCCUGGGCAUGACUGAUGACAAUUUCCAUUUCAUCAGUUUGUUUUGUUUUCCUUUUUCUUUAAAUCUUGGACUUUAGACCCUACCUGUAUGAUUCAGUAGGGUUUGAGACUUACGUGUGUAACUGACAGGUAAGCAACAGUGCUAG